CUACGUAGGGUGCGAGCGUUAAUCGGAUUUACUGGGCGUAAAGCGUGCGUAGGCGGCUUUUUAAGGCGGGUGUGAAAUCCCUGAGCUUAACUUAGGAAUUGCAUUCGAUACUGGGAAGCUAGAGUAUGGGAGAGGAUGGUAGAAUUCCAGGUGUAGCGGUGAAAUGCGUAGAGAUCUGGAGGAAUACCGAUGGCGAAGGCAGCCAUCUGGCCUAAUACUGACGCUGAGGUACGAAAGCAUGGGGAGCAAACAGGAUUAGAUACCCUGGUAGUCCAUGCCGUAAACGAUGUCUACUAGCCGUUGGGGCCUUUGAGGCUUUAGUGGCGCAGCUAACGCGAUAAGUAGACCGCCUGGGGAGUACGGUCGCAAGACUAAA
rnacentral:rRNA from 1 species